CUGAGUACGGCGGAACACGUGAAAUUCCGUCGGAAUCCGGGAGGACCAUCUCCCAAGGCUAAAUACUCCCUAGUGACCGAUAGUGAACCAGUACCGUGAGGGAAAGGUGAAAAGCACCCCGGAAGGGGAGUGAAACAGUUCCUGAAACCGUGUGCCUACAAGUAGUUAGAGCCCGUUAAUGGGUGAUAGCGUGCCUUUUGUAGAAUGAACCGGCGAGUUACGAUUUGUUGCAAGGUUAAGCGGAAAAAGCGGAGCCGUAGCGAAAGCGAGUCUGAAUAGGGCGCAUAAGUAACAGGUCGUAGACCCGAAACCAGGUGAUCUACCCAUGUCCAGGAUGAAGGUAAGGUAAUACUUACUGGAGGUCCGAACCCACGCACGUUGAAAAGUGCGGGGAUGAGGUGUGGGUAGCGGAGAAAUUCCAAUCGAACUUGGAGAUAGCUGGUUCUCUCCGAAAUAGCUUUAGGGCUAGCCUCGAGGUAAAGAGUCAUGGAGGUAGAGCACUGUUUGGACUAGGGGCCCUUCUCGGGUUACCGAAUUCAGAUAAACUCCGAAUGCCAUGUACUUAUACUCGGGAGUCAGACUGCGAGUGAUAAGAUCCGUAGUCGAAAGGGAAACAGCCCAGACCACCAGUUAAGGUCCCCAAAUAUAUGUUAAGUGGAAAAGGAUGUGGGGUUGCUUAGACAACCAGGAUGUUGGCUUAGAAGCAGCCACCAUUGAAAGAGUGCGUAAUAGCUCACUGGUCGAGUGACCCCGCGCCGAAAAUGUACCGGGGCUAAACAUAUUACCGAAACUGUGGAUGAACCUCUUUAGAGGUUCGUGGUAGGAGAGCGUUCUAAGGGCGGUGAAGUCAGACCGGAAGGACUGGUGGAGCGCUUAGAAGUGAGAAUGCCGGUAUGAGUAGCGAAAGAAGGGUGAGAAUCCCUUCCACCGAAUAUCUAAGGUUUCCUGAGGAAGGCUCGUCCGCUCAGGGUUAGUCGGGACCUAAGCCGAGGCCGAUAGGCGUAGGCGAUGGACAACAGGUAGAGAUUCCUGUACCAGUGCUAAUUGUUUAACCGAUGGGGUGACACAGAAGGAUAGGGAAUCGCACGAAUGGAAAUGUGCGUCCAAGCAGUGAGUGUGAGAAGUAGGCAAAUCCGCUUCUCGCGAAGCAUGAGCUGUGAUGGGGAAGGAAAUUAAGUACGGAAGUUCCUGAUUUCACGCUGUCAAGAAAAGCCUCUAGGAAGAGUAGUACUGCCCGUACCGCAAACCGACACAGGUAGAUGAGGAGAGAAUCCUAAGGUGAGCGAGAGAACUCUCGUUAAGGAACUCGGCAAAAU
rnacentral:rRNA from 1 species